UACGGGGGGGGCAAGCGUUGUUCGGAAUUACUGGGCGUAAAGAGCUCGUAGGUGGUUUGUCGCGUUGUUCGUGAAAACUCACAGCUUAACUGUGGGCGUGCGGGCGAUACGGGCAGACUGGAGUACUGCAGGGGAGACUGGAAUUCCUGGUGUAGCGGUGGAAUGCGUAGAUAUCGUGAGGAAGACCAGUUGCGAAGGCGGAUCUCUGGGCAGUUCCUGACACUGAGGCACGAAGGCCAGGGGAGCGAACGGG
rnacentral:rRNA from 1 species